GCGGCAGGCUUAACACAUGCAAGUCGAACGCAUCCUUCGGGGUGAGUGGCAGACGGGUGAGUAACGCGUGGGAACGUGCCCUUCAGUUCGGAAUAACCCAGGGAAACUUGGGCUAAUACCGGAUACGUGCGAGAGCAGAAAGAUUUAUCGCUGAAGGAUCGGCCCGCGUCUGAUUAGCUAGUUGGUGAGGUAAUGGCUCACCAAGGCGACGAUCAGUAGCUGGUCUGAGAGGAUGAUCAGCCACAUUGGGACUGAGACACGGCCCAAACUCCUACGGGAGGCAGCAGUGGGGAAUAUUGGACAAUGGGCGCAAGCCUGAUCCAGCCAUGCCGCGUGAGUGAUGAAGGCCUUAGGGUUGUAAAGCUCUUUCGUCCGGGACGAUAAUGACGGUACCGGAAGAAGAAGCCCCGGCUA
rnacentral:rRNA from 1 species